UGGAUCGAUGAUGACUACUGGUGGCGUAUGAGUCAUAUACGAUGAAUACGUGUCGAACUCUGAGGUCCAA
rnacentral:snoRNA from 1 species